UCCCUGAUAGCUCAGUUGGUAAAGAAUCUGCCUACAAUGCAGGAGACCCUGGUUCAAUUCCUGAGUUGGGAA
rnacentral:tRNA from 1 species